rnacentral:rRNA from 1 species
GGGCGUAGAGGGCUCGCAGGCGGUUUCUUAAGUCUGAUGUGAAAGCCCCCGGCUCAACCGGGGAGGGUCAUUGGAAACUGGGAAACUUGAGUGCAGAAGAGGAGAGUGGAAUUCCACGUGUAGCGGUGAAAUGCGUAGAGAUGUGGAGGAACACCAGUGGCGAAGGCGACUCUCUGGUCUGUAACUGACGCUGAGGAGCGAAAGCGUGGGGAGCGAACAGGAUUAGAUACCCUGGUAGUCCACGCCGUAAACGAUGAGUGCUAAGUGUUAGGGGGUUUCCGCCCCUUAGUGCUGCAGCUAACGCAUUAAGCACUCCGCCUGGGGAGUACGGUCGCAAGACUGAAACUCAAAGGAAUUGACGGGGGCCCGCACAAGCGGUGGAGCAUGUGGUUUAAUUCGAAGCAACGCGAAGAACCUUACCAGGUCUUGACAUCCUCUGACAACCCUAGAGAUAGGGCUUUCCCUUCGGGGACAGAGUGACAGGUGGUGCAUGGUUGUCGUCAGCUCGUGUCGUGAGAUGUUGGGUUAAGUCCCGCAACGAGCGCAACCCUUGAUCUUAGUUGCCAGCAUUCAGUUGGGCACUCUAAGGUGACUGCCGGUGACAAACCGG